rnacentral:rRNA from 1 species
GUGGGGAAUCUUGCGCAAUGGGCGAAAGCCUGACGCAGCCAUGCCGCGUGAAUGAUGAAGGUCUUAGGAUUGUAAAAUUCUUUCACCGGGGACGAUAAUGACGGUACCCGGAGAAGAAGCUCCGGCUAACUUCGUGCCAGCAGCCGCGGUAAUACGAAGGGGGCUAGCGUUGCUCGGAAUUACUGGGCGUAAAGGGCGCGUAGGCGGACAGCUUAGUCAGAGGUGAAAGCCCAGGGCUCAACCUUGGAAUUGCCUUUGAUACUGGCUGUCUUGAGUACGGGAGAGGUGAGUGGAACUCCGAGUGUAGAGGUGAAAUUCGUAGAUAUUCGGAAGAACACCAGUGGCGAAGGCGACUCACUGGCCCGUUACUGACGCUGAGGCGCGAAAGCGUGGGGAGCAAACAGGAUUAGAUACCCGGGUAGUCC